rnacentral:rRNA from 1 species
AUUGAACGCUGGCGGCAGGCCUAACACAUGCAAGUCGAACGAGUGGCGGACGGGUGAGUAAUGUCUGGGAAACUGCCCGAUGGAGGGGGAUAACUACUGGAAAAGGUAGCUAAUACCGCAUACCAUCUGAUGUGCCCAGAUGGGAUUAGCUUGUAGGUGAGGUAAGGGCUAACCGAGGCGACGAUCCCUAGCUGGUCUGCGAGGAUGACCAGCCACAGUGGAACUGAGAAACGGUCCAUACUCCUACGGUAGGCAUCAGGGGGGAAUAUUUGACAAUGGGCGGAGGCCUGAUGCAGCCAUGCCGCGUGUAUGAAGAAGGCCUUCGGGUUGUAAAGUACUUUCAGCGGGGAGGCGUUACCCGCAGAAGAAGCACCGGCUAACUCAGUGCCAGCAGCCGCGGUAAUAC